GUUCCCAUUAAGGCCCACGCGCCAAGAUCAGAAGCACCUAACAUUCCUCGCGGGUCUCUCCCUCGUAUAUUUUACAGCGCCAGAUAAGAAAAAGAGAUGGCGAUGUGGAUCGCAGUCGAUCCAAGAAUAGGGUUUGGGUCCCCAUGGAUUCCUCCUCCGCUCUCUCACAGCCCAAUUUCUACGAUUUUCUCAAUCGGAUGCGUCAUCCCGCCUCCGCCGAUCUCGUCCGUGCCAUCAAGAGCUUCAUUGUGUCCUUCUCAUUUCACGCAACUGAUGCUGACAAUGAUAGUAGAAAGCUGCAAGACUUUCUUGUGACCAUGGAGACUACUAUUAAAGAGCAUCCUUUAUGGGUUCAUGCUUCACAUGAAGAACUAGAUAGUGCAAUUGAGUUGUGCACUGUACAGGGUCUAGAAAAGUAUGUCAUGACAAAGUUGUUCAACCGCACAUUUGCUUCCUCUUCUGAGGAUGUAAAAGCAGAUCUAGAUGUUUCAGAGAAAAUUCGCUUGCUGCAGCACUUUAUUAGGCCUGAUCACUUGGAUGUCCCUAGAGUUCUGCAUAAUGAAGCAUCAUGGCUGUUUGCAGCAAAAGAACUGCAGAAGAUAAAUACUUUUAAUGCUCCCCGUGAGAAGCUUCUCUGCAUUAUGAAUUGUUGUCGAAUCAUAAACAAUUUACUUCUCAAUAUAUCAAUGUCAAGCAAUUAUGUACCAGCAGGGGCUGAUGACUUCCUUCCAGUUCUUAUUUAUGUUACCAUCAAGGCCAAUCCUCCCCAGCUGCAUUCCAACUUGAAAUUUAUCCAGCUCUUUAGAAGGAACUCGAAGCUUGUCUCAGAAGUGGAAUAUUACCUUACCAAUCUCAUCUCAGCAGAAACAUUUAUAACAAAUAUCAAUGCCAGUUCACUGUCCAUGGAAGAAAGUGAGUUUGAGAAGAAUAUGCAACUAGCAAAAUUAGCCAAUGAAGAGACUGCCGCUAGGCAUGGUAGUAUACUACAGUUAUCUGGAGAUGAUGCUCUCACCACGAGAAGGCAUGGCAAGGAGAUCCAUGUCAAUCUUGAAGGGCAACCUAGGUAUAUCAUGGUCAAGAAAUAGUUCCACAAUGCUGAUUCUGAGUGCCCCUUAGCAAUAAACAAUCCAAAAUUGAUAGCAGACCAACUGAUGUUUUCGUAAGGGAUUGCAGGCUGCGAAUAUCCUUUCAUGGAAUCAGAGGCAAAAGACCUGACAGUAGAGGAUGUUCAACAGCUGCUAAGGCUGUAUCAACAUGUGGUGACAAGGUAUACAAGGCUAACAAAGGCUCUGGCACGACUCUCGCUACAUGAAGAACGGCUCUUGCAUACCAUGAAAGACCCGGCAAGCAGCACUGAAUUAAAAAAAGAGAUUGAAAAAUGGCUCCAUAAAGGCAUACUAGAUUAGUAUGCCUGAUGCGUAUGAGCUGUUCAUGCUAUGCAGGUGCAAAGUAAACAUUUUGCAGGAAGGAUGAGCUUCUGCAUCAAAGAGAAACAAAAAGUUUCUACCAUGGCCAUAAAAAUUAUUACAAGGAGGCCAAAAGCUGAGACUGUCAUCAGCUCUCAUGCUAAGCUACUCUAUGUACAUGCAGACUAACACUUUACAACAACAAAAAUAUUAUCACCCUACGGUUGUCAGGCUACCAAA